AGAAGGGUUAGAAUAUCAAAGGUGUGUAAGUGAUAGACAUAUUCCACAUUUCCACACCAGUGGCAGACCAAUGAUAAAUACUAUGAGUAAACAAAGCCUUAUGCUGUAUGUGGUGCCGGGUGAUGGCUAUUGCAACUGAAAUGUUGUCCGUCUACCACUCCUUCUUACACACUGGAAGCCAGCGAAGAAAGAUAAGAUGUUUCAGAACAACCCUGCUGAGGAGGCAGGGAGAGAGGGAGCGAGGGAGGAAGCGAGGGAGCAAGGGAACUAGGGGACAUCAACUCACCAACCAACCCUCCUCCAGUCUGUGGGAGAGCCAGACAAUGGUUAAUGAAACUUCCUAUUUCAUCAAUCAAUGUACUGUAUGUAGGUGGGUCAGCACAAUGUGAAGUUUGUUUACAUUGUCUUCUCCUAAACUGGAAGGCGAGGUCAGUACAGGUGCAUCAAAGCUGGGACCGAGAGACUGAAAAACAGCUUCUAUCUCAAGGCCAUCAGACUGUCAAACAGCCACCACUAACAUUGAGUGGCUGCUGCCAACACACUGUCAUUGACACUGACCCAACUCCAGCCACUUUAAUAAUGGGAAUUGAUGGGAAAUGAUGUAAAUAUAUCACUAGCCACUUUAAACAAUGCUACCUUAUAUAAUGUUACUUACCCUACAUUAUUCAUCUCAUAUGCAUAUGUAUAUACUGUACUCUACAUCAUCGACUGCAUCCUUAUGUAAUACAUGUAUCACUAGCCACUUUAACUAUGCCACUUUGUUUACUUUGUCUACAUACUCAUCUCAUAUGUAUAUACUGUACUCGAUACCAUCUACUGUAUGCUGCUCUGUACCAUCACUCAUUCAUAUAUCCUUAUGUACAUAUUCUUUAUCCACUUACACUGUGUAUAAGACAGUAGUUUUGGAAUUGUUAGUUAGAUUACUUGUUGGUUAUCACUGCAUUGUCGGAACUAGAAGCACAAGCAUUUCGCUACACUCGCAUUAACAUCUGCUAACCAUGUGUAUGUGACAAAUAAAAUUCGAUUUGAUUUGAUUUGAACUCUGAUCUAAGGUGAUGUUUACAUUGUCUUCUCCUAGACUCUGAUCUAAGGUGAGGUUUACAUUGUCUUCUCCUAAACUCUGAUCUAAGGUGAGGUUUACAUUGUCUUCUCCUAGACUCUGAUCUAAGGUGAUGUUUACAUUGUCUUCUCCUAGACUCUGAUCUAAGGUGAUGUUUACAUUGUCUUCUCCUAGACUCUGAUCUAAGGUGAUGUUUACAUUGUCUUCUCCUAGACUCUGAUCUAAGGUGAUGUUUACAUUGUCUUCUCCUAGACUCUGAUCUAAGGUGAUGUUUACAUUGUCUUCUCCUAGACUCUGAUCUAAGGUGAUGUUUACAUUGUCUUCUCCUAGACUCUGAUCUAAGGUGAUGUUUACAUUGUCUUCUCCUAGACUCUGAUCUAAGGUGAUGUUUACAUUGUCUACUCCUAGACUCUGAUCUAAGGUGAUGUUUACAUUGUCUACUCCUAGACUCUGAUCUAAGGUGAUGUUUACAUGGUCUUCUCCUAA